AUUUUAUGUGGUGCUGAGGAUCGAACCCAGCGCCCCCGAGCAUGCCAGGUGAGCGCGUUACCGCUUGAGCCACAUCUCCAGCCCUAAACUGCUCCAUUUUUAUUAGAUCUGAAGAUAUUCCCUGUUCCUGGAGCGCUUGCCACAGCUUGAUUGCUGGUGCUGCCCAGGGGACUGGCUGCAACCAGAAGAGCACAGCUUGAGGACCCCAUGAGGUUGCCAUAGAUACUGAUACGCAGGGAUCUGGUGGAUGACAGAAACUCAAGGCUUACUGGCAUCUCCAUGUUCACAUUCUCAUUGCCCUGCCCACGCUGGGACUUGGGACCUGGCUCUCACCCUGGUGCUUUGAGCCACCAAAGACACAAAGCCUGUGCAAAUCAUUCCCCUUUCUUCCCUUUCAUUGCUGGCCUGAGAGUGCCACUUGCAUCCUUUGCCUCUGGCCUGAUCUCCCUGAUGAAACCACUCCUGAAGGGUCCCCCACCCCCAAUGAUGGCAAUGAUACUUGCACAAGGCUAGACUGUCAGCUCCCUGAGGGAAGACUGCCGGCAGCUUCUUCUAUACAGAUUGUGGAUGUCUCCAGAGUGUGCAGUUUGAUACAGUCUUCUUGACCUUGGUCGUCUCUCCACUUGAGCCCUUGCAAGGUCCGGGACUAGCUCACAGACCGCGAACCUUUCAGCUCUGUCUGCCAGCGCUGGUGGUCCGGAGCUGGGACCCCCCCACAAACAUUUCUCUGACGCUCCUGGCCCAGCCCCGGCCGCUCCCGGUUCGGGCGGGGCCGGUGACGGGAGGCUCCUCCCCGGGGGCGGUCCGGGGGCCGGGCGGGGG